AUUGAACGCUGGCGGAAUGCUUUACACAUGCAAGUCGAACGGCAGCACGGGGGCAACCCUGGUGGCGAGUGGCGAACGGGUGAGUAAUACAUCGGAACGUGCCCGGUCGUGGGGGAUAACGUAGCGAAAGUUACGCUAAUACCGCAUACGAUCUGAGGAUGAAAGCGGGGGACCUUCGGGCCUCGCGCGAUCGGAGCUGCCGAUGUCAGAUUAGGUAGUUGGUGGGGUAAAGGCCUACCAAGCCGACGAUCUGUAGCUGGUCUGAGAGGACGACCAGCCACACUGGGACUGAGACACGGCCCAGACUCCUACGGGAGGCAGCAGUGGGGAAUUUUGGACAAUGGGCGCAAGCCUGAUCCAGCCAUUCCGCGUGAAGGACGAAGGCCUUCGGGUUGUAAACUGCUUUUGUAUGGAACGAAAAGGCUCUGGCUAAUACCUGGGGCUCAUGACGGUACCGUAAGAAUAAGCACCGGCUAACUACGUG
rnacentral:rRNA from 1 species